CCUACGGGGGGCAGCAGUGGGGAAUAUUGGACAAUGGGGGGAACCCUGAUCCAGCCAUGCCGCGUGUGUGAAGAAGGCCCUCGGGUUGUAAAGCACUUUCAGUGAGGAAGAACGCCUGGUGGUUAAUACCCAUCAGGAAAGACAUCACUCACAGAAGAAGCACCGGCUAACUCCGUGCCAGCAGCCGCGGUAAUACGGAGGGUGCGAGCGUUAAUCGGAAUUACUGGGCGUAAAGCGCGCGUAGGUGGCUUGAUAAGCCGGUUGUGAAAGCCCCGGGCUCAACCUGGGAACGGCAUCCGGAACUGUCAAGCUAGAGUGCAGGAGAGGAAGGUAGAAUUCCCGGUGUAGCGGUGAAAUGCGUAGAGAUAGGGAGGAAUACCAGUGGCGAAGGCGGCCUUCUGGACUGACACUGACACUGAGGUGCGAAAGCGUGGGUAGCAAACAGGAUUAGAUACCCCGGUAGUC
rnacentral:rRNA from 1 species